CAGCCGCCGCGGUAAUACGAAGGGUGCAAGCGUUAAUCGGAAUUACUGGGCGUAAAGCGUACGUAGGCGGUUUGUUAAGUCUGUUGUGAAACCCCCGGGCUCAACCUGGGAAUGGCAAUGGAUACUGGCAAGCUAGAGUGUGUCAGAGGAUGGUGGAAUUCCCGGUGUAGCGGUGAAAUGCGUAGAUAUCGGAAGGAACAUCAGUGGCGAAGGCGACUACCUGGAUUGACACUGACACUGAGGCGCGAAAGCGUGGGGAGCAAACAGGAUUAGAUACCCCAGUAGUCCCUGUCUCUUAUAA
rnacentral:rRNA from 1 species